AGAGUUUGAUCAUGGCUCAGAACGAACGCUGGCGGCAGGCUUAACACAUGCAAGUCGAACGCACCUUUCGGGGUGAGUGGCAGACGGGUGAGUAACGCGUGGGAACGUGCCCUUCAGUUCGGAAUAACCCAGGGAAACUUGGGCUAAUACCGGAUACGUGCGAGAGCAGAAAGAUUUAUCGCUGAAGGAUCGGCCCGCGUCUGAUUAGCUAGUUGGUAGGGUAAUGGCCUACCAAGGCGACGAUCAGUAGCUAGUCUGAGAGGAUGAUCAGCCACAUUGGGACUGAGACACGGCCCAAACUCCUACGGGAGGCAGCAGUGGGGAAUAUUGGACAAUGGGCGCAAGCCUGAUCCAGCCAUGCCGCGUGAGUGAUGAAGGCCUUAGGGUUGUAAAGCUCUUUCAGUGGGGACGAUAAUGACGGUACCCGCAGAAGAAGCCCCGGCUAACUUCGUGCCAGCAGCCGCGGUAAUACGAAGGGGGCUAGCGUUGUUCGGAAUCACUGGGCGUAAAGGGCGCGUAGGCGGCUUGAUAAGUCGGGGGUGAAAGCCUGUGGCUCAACCACAGAAUUGCCUUCGAUACUGUCUGGCUUGAGACCGGAAGAGGUAAGUGGAACUGCGAGUGUAGAGGUGAAAUUCGUAGAUAUUCGCAAGAACACCAGUGGCGAAGGCGGCUUACUGGUCCGGUUCUGACGCUGAGGCGCGAAAGCGUGGGGAGCAAACAGGAUUAGAUACCCUAGUAGUCC
rnacentral:rRNA from 1 species